GAUGAACGCUAGCGGCAGGCUUAACACAUGCAAGUCGAGGGGUAGAAGGAGCUUGCUCCUUUGAGACCGGCGCACGGGUGCGUAACGCGUAUGCAAUCUACCUUUUGCAGAGGAUAGCCCAGAGAAAUUUGGAUUAAUACCUCAUAGUAUGUGAGGAUGGCAUCAUUUUCACAUUAAAGUCACAACGGCAAAGAUGAGCAUGCGUCCCAUUAGCUAGUUGGUAAGGUAACGGCUUACCAAGGCUACGAUGGGUAGGGUCCUGAGAGGAGAUCCCCCACACUGGUACUGAGACACGGACCAGACUCCUACGGGAGGCAGCAGUGAGGAAUAUUGGAC
rnacentral:rRNA from 1 species